CAGAGAGCCCUCUACAGGGAUGUGAUGCAGGAGAAUUACGAGGCUGUGAGCUGGCUGGGAUUUCCAGCUUCCAAACCUCAUGUGAUUUCCUGGGUGGAGCGAGGGGAAGAGCUGUGGAUCCCAGAUCUCCAGGGCUGUGAGGAAGGGGAGAUCAUCAGUGAUGCCCACACAGCAGUUGAUGGGAUGCUGAGUGAGAUCCGUGAGGA